CCAGCAGCUUGAUGGUCCAGUGUAUAACUUGGAACACAAUUGAGCUGACUCUGAUGGGCUUCACCAUCCCAGAACAUACAAUCCGUGACUAAAUGGAGGGCAUCACCUGUGCUCUAAAGGCCAGACUGGCACCUGCUAACAAGGUCUGCAAGGUAAAACAUUGUCCCCCUCCAGAAUCCAGACUUUGAUCUCAUCUUUUAGCAGCAUCUUAGACCAGUGUGUUUAUGUGGGUGUUCAGGCCUCCAAAGCCUUCACAAACAGCAACGGGCAGGAAGCUUUCUUAUGAAAAAGAAAAGGAAAAAAUGCCAGUUUUCACUGGGUGAAACGACUAUUUUCUGCAUACUAGUUUGAGACUGAGCCAAAGCUGUGAAAGCGGACUAUGAUUUUUGACCCUUCUCAUAACUACUUUCCCUCAUCUGUAGAGGUGAGUAAAAUCAUGCUAAGUACACUGCACUUCUAGGCUCUGAUGAGGAGAGUCAAACAAAACCUGUAUAUAGAAGUUUUAAUGCUGAUAUGGCUAAGAUUAACCUCGGAUUGAGCCUGAGGUUUGUAGUUGAGAUCAGCUACAGCUGCAACACCUGGACCAGAGUUUCACUGGAGUCAGGGGAUCAGAUUGCUUUGGCUUGGACCCCUACUCUACUGUGGACACUUUUUCAUUAGGCUAAUCCAUGGUCCCCCAGAUUGGCCCCAACAUCACCCCAAUUUUGUGCCAUGGUUGAUGAGGUGGUGUUGCAGAGCUGGAAAAUACCCUCAGAUCUCAAAAGAAAGAUGCAAAGUCCUGUAACCAAGUUAUGCUUAUUCCUACAUGCUCACACUCAUGGCAUAUCAGGAACUCAGGGCAGCCAAUUUUUCAAGCAGUGCUAAAACAUGUAUUUCACAUUGGUGAAAGGGAGGGACACCGAGCACUUAACCCUGCUCUUAGCCCUUCCCCCAGUUUUCUCUUUCUUGAGCCUGAAUUCAACUGGAAGCAUUAUUUUUAGAGCUGUUGAAUUUAACCCCAAACUCACCCACCCUUCCAGAAUCCUACUGUUGUGCCACAGUAAUGAUGUAAUACACAGUCAUCCCAUAACCAGGACUUGUACAGCACAAAGCCCAUUUGCACCCAUCAGAGUCUGCAAGGCAGCAUCAACCGUUGAAUAUGACUUCUUUAAUAAAACAGGCUGGGAUGUCAUGAAUGAGUUAAAAGGUCACAGGAAGGAAAUGUUGGGUUGGAUGCCAAAACUACUCUGGCAACAACUUCACACCAGGGGUUGGGCUCUUGUCCAUGACCAAGCAGCUCAUUGUUGGACAGUGCAAUUCUCCCAGGUGAGUGGAUGGCAACUGCAUGGGGAAGGUGGGAGCUGCCCGGCUGCUGCUGUGGGGUGCCCAGGGCUUGCCCAGCGGCUGAGCCCACUGGGGCCUCCAGCAGGUCACUCCCUGCUUGUAUGAGGUCAGUCAACUCCUGCCAUGGCAAUCUUAAUUACCGUUGACAGAAAGCAAUUGGAAAAAGGGAACCACAUUCUCAGUUGAAAACCAAACUCCCUUCCCAAGGUCUCCUCUUCUGAGGUCAGUAUUGCUCUGCUUUGACCUAUGUCCUAUAAGAACAUCCGUGCUCUUGCUGGAAGAGCAGAUUGCAGGAUGGACAACACAGUCAAUGUCUGGCUUUCAUCUCAUUCAC
ensembl:lncRNA